CCUACGGGAGGCAGCAGUGGGGACUAUUGCACAAUGGGGGAAACCCUGAUGCAGCGACGCCGCGUGAGUGAAGAAGUAUUUCGGUAUGUAAAGCUCUAUCAGCAGGGAAGAAAAUGACGGUACCUGAUUAAGAAGCCGCGGCUAACUACGUGCCAGCAGCCGCGGUAAUACGUAGGGGGCACGCGUUAUACGGAUUUACUGGGUGUAAAGGGAGCGUAGAAGGCAGCACAAGUCUGGUGUGAAAUGCCAGGGCUUAACCCCGGAACUGCUUUGGAGACUGUGCAGCUAGAGGGCAGGAGAGGUAAGUGGAAUUCCGAGUGUAGCAGUGAAAUGCGUAGAUAUGAGGAGGAACACCAGUGGCGAAGGCGGCUUACUGGACUGUAACUGACGUUGAGGCUCGAAAGCGUGGGGAGCAAACAGGAUUAGAUACCCUUGUAGUC
rnacentral:rRNA from 1 species